UACGGGGGGAGCAAGCGUUGUUCGGAUUUACUGGGCGUAAAGGGCGCGUAGGCGGUCAGCACAAGUCAGUUGUGAAAUCUCCGGGCUUAACUCGGAAAGGUCAACUGAUACUGUGCGACUAGAGUGCGGAAGGGGCAACUGGAAUUCUUGGUGUAGCGGUGAAAUGCGUAGAUAUCAAGAGGAACACCUGCGGCGAAGGCGGGUUGCUGGGCCGACACUGACGCUGAGGCGCGAAAGCCAGGGGGAGCGAAUGGGG
rnacentral:rRNA from 1 species